UACAGAGGUCCCGAGCGUUGUUCGGAUUCACUGGGCGUAAAGGGUGCGUAGGUGGUGAGGUAAGUCGGAUGUGAAAUCUCCGAGCUCAACUCGGAAAUGGCAUUGGAAACUACCUUGCUUGAGGGUUGGAGGGGGGACUGGAAUACUUGGUGUAGCAGUGAAAUGCGUAGAGAUCCGGAGGAACACCAAAGGCGAAGGCAGUGUCCUGGGGAGUACCUGACGCUCAGGUGCGAAAGCCAGGGGAGCGAACGGG
rnacentral:rRNA from 1 species